CAGAUGUAGUUCAGUGGUAGAACUUCAGCCUUCCAAGCUGACUAUGCGGGUUCGAUUCCCGUCAUCUG
rnacentral:tRNA from 1 species